rnacentral:rRNA from 1 species
UACGUAGGGUGCAAGCGUUAAUCGGAAUUACUGGGCGUAAAGCGUGCGCAGGCGGCUUUGUAAGUUAGAGGUGAAAGCCCGGGGCUCAACUCCGGAAUUGCCUUUAAGACUGCAUCGCUAGAAUUGUGGAGAGGUAAGUGGAAUUCCGAGUGUAGAGGUGAAAUUCGUAGAUAUUCGGAAGAACACCAGUGGCGAAGGCGACUUACUGGACACAUAUUGACGCUGAGGUGCGAAAGCGUGGGGAGCAAACAGG